GAUGAACGCUAGCUACAGGCUUAACACAUGCAAGUCGAGGGGCAGCAUGGUCUUAGCUUGCUAAGGCCGAUGGCGACCGGCGCACGGGUGAGUAACACGUAUCCAACCUGCCGUCUACUCUUGGACAGCCUUCUGAAAGGAAGAUUAAUACAAGAUGGCAUCAUGAGUCCGCAUGUUCACAUGAUUAAAGGUAUUCCGGUAGACGAUGGGGAUGCGUUCCAUUAGAUAGUAGGCGGGGUAACGGCCCACCUAGUCUUCGAUGGAUAGGGGUUCUGAGAGGAAGGUCCCCCACAUUGGAACUGAGACACGGUCCAAACUCCUACGGGAGGCAGCAGUGAGGAAUAUUGGUCAAUGGGCGAGAGCCUGAACCAGCCAAGUAGCGUGAAGGAUGACUGCCCUAUGGGUUGUAAACUUCUUUUAUAAAGGAAUAAAGUCGGGUAUGCAUACCCGUUUGCAUGUACUUUAUGAAUAAGGAUCGGCUAACUCCGUGCCAGCAGCCGCGGUAAUACGGAGGAUCCGAGCGUUAUCCGGAUUUAUUGGGUUUAAAGGGAGCGUAGAUGGAUGUUUAAGUCAGUUGUGAAAGUUUGCGGCUCAACCGUAAAAUUGCAGUUGAUACUGGAUAUCUUGAGUGCAGUUGAGGCAGGCGGAAUUCGUGGUGUAGCGGUGAAAUGCUUAGAUAUCACGAAGAACUCCGAUUGCGAAGGCAGCCUGCUAAGCUGCAACUGACAUUGAGGCUCGAAAGUGUGGGUAUCAAACAGGAUUAGAUACCCUGGUAGUCCACACGGUAAACGAUGAAUACUCGCUGUUUGCGAUAUACAGCAAGCGGCCAAGCGAAAGCGUUAAGUAUUCCACCUGGGGAGUACGCCGGCAACGGUGAAACUCAAAGGAAUUGACGGGGGCCCGCACAAGCGGAGGAACAUGUGGUUUAAUUCGAUGAUACGCGAGGAACCUUACCCGGGCUUAAAUUGCAGAUGAAUUAUGGUGAAAGCCGUAAGCCGCAAGGCAUCUGUGAAGGUGCUGCAUGGUUGUCGUCAGCUCGUGCCGUGAGGUGUCGGCUUAAGUGCCACAACGAGCGCAACCCUUGUUGUCAGUUACUAACAGGUUCCGCUGAGGACUCUGACAAGACUGCCAUCGUAAGAUGUGAGGAAGGUGGGGAUGACGUCAAAUCAGCACGGCCCUUACGUCCGGGGCUACACACGUGUUACAAUGGGGGGUACAGAGGGCCGCUACCACGCGAGUGGAUGCCAAUCCCAAAAACCUCUCUCAGUUCGGACUGGAGUCUGCAACCCGACUCCACGAAGCUGGAUUCGCUAGUAAUCGCGCAUCAGCCACGGCGCGGUGAAUACGUUCCCGGGCCUUGUACACACCGCCCGUCAAGCCAUGGGAGCCGGGGGUACCUGAAGUGCGUAACCGCGAGGAG
rnacentral:rRNA from 1 species